GCCCGAGCGCUGCCUCCUGUGCUGGUGCACCCUGGACACCAACGUGGGGCCGACUUCCUGCCCCUGCUCUGCUACGGCUGCCGGCUGACCAUCAAGGACACGGCCUGCCUGGAGAGCCUCCCGCCCUACGUCCGCUCGGAGGCAGCGCGCCGCAGCCGCAGGGCCGCCAUGUAGC